rnacentral:rRNA from 1 species
CCGGCACGGGUGAGUAACACGUAUCCAACCUGCCGUCUACUCUUGGCCAGCCUUCUGAAAGGAAGAUUAAUUCAGGAUGGCAUCAUGAGUUCACAUGUCCGCAUGAUUAAAGGUAUUUUCCGGUAGACGAUGGGGAUGCGUUCCAUUAGAUAGUAGGCGGGGUAACGGCCCACCUAGUCAACGAUGGAUAGGGGUUCUGAGAGGAAGGUCCCCCACAUUGGAACUGAGACACGGUCCAA